rnacentral:rRNA from 1 species
UACGUAGGCAGCGAGCGUUGUUCGGAGUUACUGGGCGUAAAGAGUGUGUAGGCGGUGUUCCAAGUCUGGUGUGAAAUCUCCCGGCUUAACUGGGAGGGUGCAUUAGAAACUGGAAUGCUAGAGGAUGGGAGAGGUAAGCGGAAUUCCUGGUGUAGCGGUGAAAUGCGUAGAUAUCAGGAGGAACACCUGUGGUGUAGACAGCUUACUGGACCAUUUCUGACGCUGAGACACGAAAGCGUGGGGAGCAAACAGG